AGAGUUUGAUCCUGGCUCAGAAUCAACGCUGGCGGCGUGCCUAACACAUGCAAGUCGAACGCGAAAGUGGAGCAAUCCAUGAGUAGAGUGGCAAACGGGUGAGUAAUACGUGGGUGACCUGCCUUCGAGCGGGGGAUAACGUCCCGAAAGGGACGCUAAUACCGCAUAACAUCCUGUCUUUUAAGCGAUGGUGAUCAAAGCCGGGGAUCGCAAGACCUGGCACUCGAAGAGGGGCCCGCGCCUGAUUAGCUAGUUGGUGAGGUAACGGCUCACCAAGGCAACGAUCAGUAUCCGGCCUGAGAGGGCGGACGGACACACUGGGACUGAGACACGGCCCAGACUCCUACGGGAGGCAGCAGUGGGGAAUUGUUCGCAAUGGGCGCAAGCCUGACGACGCAACGCCGCGUGGAGGAUGAAGAUCUUCGGGUCGUAAACUCCUUUCGAUCGAGACGAACGGCCUCCGGGUGAAUAAUCCGGGGGAGUGACGGUACCGAGAGAAGAAGCCCCGGCUAACUCCGUGCCAGCAGCCGCGGUAAUACGGGGGGGGCAAGCGUUGUUCGGAAUUACUGGGCGUAAAGGGCUCGUAGGCGGCCAACUAAGUCAGACGUGAAAUCCCUCGGCUUAACCGGGGAACUGCGUCUGAUACUGGAUGGCUUGAGUGUGGGAGAGGGAUGCGGAAUUCCAGGUGUAGCGGUGAAAUGCGUAGAUAUCUGGAGGAACACCGGUGGCGAAGGCGGCAUCCUGGACCAUUACUGACGCUGAUGAGCGAAAGCCAGGGGAGCAAACGGGAUUAGAUACCCNNNNAGUCC
rnacentral:rRNA from 1 species